rnacentral:rRNA from 1 species
CAGCCGCCACGGGAAUACGAAGGGGGCUAGCGUUGCUCGGAAUGACUGGGCGUAAAGGGCGCGUAGGCGGCGAUCAAAGUCAGGCGUGAAAUUCCUGGGCUCAACCUGGGGGCUGCGUUUGAUACUUGAUUGCUAGAGUGGGGAAGAGGGUCGUGGAAUUCCCAGUGUAGAGGUGAAAUUCGUAGAUAUUGGGAAGAACACCGGUGGCGAAGGCGGCGACCUGGUCCUUGACUGACGCUGAGGCGCGAAAGCGUGGGGAGCAAACAGGAUUAGAUACCCGCGUAGUCCCUGUCUCUUAUAC